rnacentral:rRNA from 1 species
CGCAAUCGCCCUUCGGGGUGCCCAGGCGCGAAAACUUUACAAUGCUGGAAACCGCGAUAAGGGGACCUCGAGUGCCAGGAUACUAUCUUGGCUGUCCCGAUGCCUAAAAAACAUUGGAUAGCAAGGGCCGGGCAAGACCGGUGCCAGCCGCCGCGGUAACACCGGCGGCUCGAGUGGUAACCGCUAUUAUUGGGUCUAAAGGGUCUGUAGCCGGCCUGAUAAGUCUUUUGGGAAAUCCAACUGCUCAACUAUUGGGCUUUCAGAAGAUACUGUUCGACUCGAAACCGGGAGAGGUGAGAGGUACUUCAGGGGUAGGAGUGAAAUCUUGUAAUCCUUGAGGGACCACCUGUGGCGAAGGCGUCUCACCAGAACGGAUCUGACGGUAAGGGACGAAAGCUAGGGGCACGAACCGGAUUAGAUACCCGGGUAGUCCUAGCCGUAAACGAUACUCGCUAGGUGUCAGACAUGGUGCGACCGUGGUUGGUGCCGUAGGGAAGCCGUGAAGCGAGCCACCUGGGAAGUACGGCCGCAAGGCUGAAACUUAAAGGAAUUGGCGGGGGAGCAC